rnacentral:tRNA from 1 species
GCCCGGAUAGCUCAGUCGGUAGAGCAGGGGAUUGAAAAUCCCUGUGUCCUUGGUUCGAUUCCGAGUCCGGGCAC